rnacentral:lncRNA from 10 species
UGUUAGGAAGGGUCCCAGGAGGUAGACCCACACAGAUGGGAUUUGGGCAUAGGUUUGGUUUCCCAGGGGGCAGUGCUGAGCUCUUUGCCAGUGGGAAAUGGGAUGCUGGUGAUUUCCAGUAGGUGACCUCACAGUGACUCAAGCUACCACUUACUGUUGAUUGUGACGAAAUGCCAGCUGAGGCACAUGCCUUGGGAGCUAAGUGGUUGCUGCCCUUGACCACUGUGAAGACUGGUGUGGGAAGGGUCGUUUUGGAUGCACUUGAGCAGGGGUCCCCAACCCCUGAGCCAUGGAGCCGCAAGGAGCCACACAGCAGGAGGUGGGAACAUCCAGUUGCGGGAAAACAAGCUUAACACGCCCACUGAUUCUACAUUAUGCUCCUACCUCCCGGCAGCCUCUCCAGGCCCAGAACUUUCUCCAGUCAGCCUCUACAGACCAAGCUCAUGACUCACAAUGGCCUAUUUAGGCCCAUACCCUACGUCACGGCAGCCUCCGCAGAUGAGCCUACUGCCUCACAACAGCCUCCACAGGCACAGCUCCAUCGUUACAAUGGCCUCUUUAGACCCAGCUCCUGCCUCCCAGCCUUCUCUCCAGGCUCUGAACUUUCUCAGUAAGUUCAGGUAGCUGGGACUGUAGGGUCUCCCUCUGUUGUCCAAGGCUGGAGUGUAGUAGUGCUAUCGCAGCUGACUGCAGCCU